rnacentral:rRNA from 1 species
AUCGAACGCUGGCGGCAGGCCUAACACAUGCAAGUCGAGCGAGCGGCGGACGGGUGAGUAAUGCCUGGGAAUUGCCCAGUCGGGGGGUAUAACAGUUGGAAACGACUGCUAAUCCCGAAUACGCUUGGAUCGCCCAGGUGGGAUGAGCUAGUUGGUGAGGUAAUGGCACACCAAGGCGACGCUCCCUAGCUGGUCUGAGAGGAUGAUCAGCCACACUGGAACUGAGACACGGUCCAGACUCCUACGGGAGGCAGCAGUGGGGAAUAUGGCACAAUGGGCGAAAGCCUGAUGCAGCCAUGCCGCGUGUGUGAAGAAGGCCUUCGGGUUGUAAAGCACUUUCAGCGAGGAGGCGUUACUCGCAGAAGAAGCACCGGCUAACUCCGUGCCAGCAGCCGCGGUAAUAC